rnacentral:rRNA from 1 species
GACGAACGCUGGCGGCGUGCUUAACACAUGCAAGUCGAACGGUAAGGCCCUUCGGGGUACACGAGCGGCGAACGGGUGAGUAACACGUGGGUGAUCUGCCCUGCACUUCGGGAUAAGCCUGGGAAACUGGGUCUAAUACCGGAUAGGACCACUGCCUGCAUGGGUGGUGGUGGAAAGCUUUUGCGGUGUGGGAUGGGCCCGCGGCCUAUCAGCUUGUUGGUGGGGUGAUGGCCUACCAAGGCGACGACGGGUAGCCGGCCUGAGAGGGUGACCGGCCACACUGGGACUGAGGUACGGCCCAGACUCCUACGGGAGGCAGCAGUGGGGAAUAUUGCACAAUGGGCGCAAGCCUGAUGCAGCGACGCCGCGUGAGGGAUGACGGCCUUCGGGUUGUAAACCUCUUUCAGCACCGACGAAGCGCAAGUGACGGUAGGUGCAGAAGAAGGACCGGCCAACUUCGUGCCAGCAGCCGCCGUAA